rnacentral:ncRNA from 1 species
AACCAAGUCUCUAAGCAAUGGAUGUCUUGGCUCCUCACACGAUGAAGAACGUGGCAUAAUGUGUUAAGUAACCGGAGUUGCAAACAUCAUGACAGGUUAAUCUUUGAAUGCAAAUUGCGCUAAACUCGAUCUCGGUCGAGAAGCAUGGGUGUGACAGUACUACAUCUUUUAUAAUAAUUCUUAUUCUAAGCGAAUAAGUAAAUAAUAUAUAAGACAAACAACACGUAGUCUGCCAUACGCAGGAAGACCCGCUGAACUGAAGCAUCUCAUUAAGCGGAGGAAAAGAAACUAACUAGGAUUCCCUUAGUAAAGGCGAUCGAAAAGGGAACAGCCCAACUC